AGUGGAUGGAUGGAUGGGUGGAUGGAUAGAAUUGUGGAUGGAUGGAUACAUUGGUGGAUAGAGGGAUGGAGGGAUGGAGGAUGAGCAAGUGGAUGGGAGGGACUAGAUUCAGGGUCAGAACAGCUUGUUUUUCCCAGACAAGAUAUUUCCAGGAAAAUCUCAAUAAGAAGCCCCCCCUCCAACACACACACACACACACACACACACCCCACAGGGCUGGGAGGCUUUGGAAGUGUGGUACUUCCUCCCCUGACAGUGUGUAGCAUGGUAGGUCCUUGCAAAGCCGAGUUGCAGGCUAAAGGCACCUGCGUCCCUGCCUGGCAGCCUCUCCCCACUGGAGCCUGGCCGAUGCUGAUUACAGGCAGUGGGUCACAGAAGGCCAAGGGGAGGCCACUCAGGGUGGGGGCAGCCACGGCACCCUCUGGCCCUUCCUUCCAUGGAGCACUGCCCCCUGGCACCCUUACAUUCCUGAGAGGAUCUUUCCUUCAGUCCAGGAAGGACCCUGAGGGCCUGAGGCUAAGAGGCUCCCUGUCCCAGUGUGGGGGAUGGGAAGGGGCAAGCUUGCCUUCUCCAGCCCUCCAGAGGGUGCAGUCCUGUGCUGCAGGGGUGGGGAGGCCAGUGUGGGCACAGUAAAGGCUCAAACUGCUUUGAGGAUGGACAUGACACUUUAUUCUGCUUCAGCCCCACCUGCGGACUCCACAGGCCUGGGUGCUGAGUUUGGAGGGAGCAGAGACCUGGGGAGGAAGGCAGGGGGCACAGAGGGAUCUUGACCAGGGGCAUCUUGACCAGGGGCGAGGGCAUCUAGGGGCAUCUCAGGGUUUCCUCCAUAACUGGAACGCAGGACCCUCCUCAGUGAAGAUCAGGUGCAAAGCAGGAAUACCCCACGCCGAAAGCUUCCCCUCGUUUUGGGGGCUGAGCUGCCAGGCCUCCCCACUCCACCAUUCUACACCGCCUGGCUGGAGCAGAGCCAGGCAUGGGGGCCAUCGUGACACUCCACACCGUCAGCUCCUGUUUCGGGGAUCUCCAGGCCUGGAUCUGUCCAACCUUCAGCCUUGAGGGUCCCGGAGGCUAGCCCAAGCAACAGGGUCACAGGGGGUCAGAGGUGAUUGUAUCCCAGCCUCAUCCCUGGAGCUGUGGUCACCACCGCCUAGCAGAGCUGGAACCUGUCCCUCAGCUGACCAGCAAGUCUCCUGGUGGCCAGAGGGUCUGAAAUUGCCUGGAGAGCCUCGGGGGAGCCCACCAGCUGCCUCCUCUCCUAGAUGGACAGGCUGAUGCUGGUGGAGCCUGGGUCUGAAGCCAGGACUGAGGCCAGAGGACGAACCUGUGGGCUCUUGGUGGACAUGGCCUCCCGUACCCCAAAGGGACACUGGGAUCCAAGGAACGAUUUAGAGAGGACACACUCUGGUCCAGCCUGGCCAAGUGCUCAGGACAUCAGCACAAAGACACAUUGGGACUUGUUUCAAAGAAGAGUCCAUUUCCUUUGUUGAAAAAAAAAAAAAGAACAGGGGCACCUGGGUGGCUCAGAGGUUGUCUGCCUUCGGCUCAGGGUAUGAUCCUGGGGUCCUGGGAUUGAGUC